CUAACUCUGUGAAAAAUACAUUAGCAGAUGCAUGUAGGCGUUAGUCAAAAAAGAUCUGUUUCUUCAGUGCAAAGACUGAACUGUCCUUUUAUCUCAGCGCAUAGCUUCUGGCCUGGGCGUGGCGUGGAUUAUUGGGCGAGUUCUUUACGCAUAUGGCUACUACACGGGAGGUAAGUACAUGUUGACGUCCACCAGGGAAAUACACCUUAGAUUUAUCUUCUUUACCAUGUAUUAUGGGCCCUGUGUGCACGGGCCCACAGAGGGCAGAGAGGCUAUCAGUCCCCUGGAGCUGCAGUGACAGGUGGCUGCAGGUCACCUAACAUGAAUGCUGAUGACUAAAUUUUGAUUCCUCUGCAAGAGCAGCAAAUGAACCUAACCACUGAGCCAUCUUUUCUGCUCCCAAAACAAAUUUUAUUUAUAUAUAUAUGUAUAUAUACAUAUAUGUAUAUAUGUGUGUAUAUAUGUAUAUAUAUGUGUGUAUAUAUGUAUGUAUAUAUGUGUGUAUGUAUUAUAUAUGUGUAUAUAUACAUAUAUACAUAUAUACAUAUACAUACAUACACACACACACACACAUAUAUAUAUGUUGAGACAGGGUUUCUCUGUAUAGCCCUGGCUUGCCUGGUAUUCGCUCCAUAGACCAGGCUGGCCUUGAACUCACAGACAUAUGCUUGCCUCUGUCUUGUGCAUCAGUGCCCAGCCAAAUUUUAAAUAUGGUUACUGUAUUUUAACUCUUGGUUGGGAUUUAAAAAUGGGGGAAG
rnacentral:lncRNA from 1 species